GACGAACGCUGGCGGCGUGCCUAAUACAUGCAAGUAGAACGCUGAAGAGAGGAGCUUGCUCUUCUUGGAUGAGUUGCGAACGGGUGAGUAACGCGUAGGUAACCUGCCUUGUAGCGGGGGAUAACUAUUGGAAACGAUAGCUAAUACCGCAUAACAAUGGAUGACACAUGUCAUUUAUUUGAAAGGGGCAAUUGCUCCACUACAAGAUGGACCUGCGUUGUAUUAGCUAGUAGGUGAGGUAAUGGCUCACCUAGGCGACGAUACAUAGCCGACCUGAGAGGGUGAUCGGCCACACUGGGACUGAGACACGGCCCAGACUCCUACGGGAGGCAGCAGUAGGGAAUCUUCGGCAAUGGGGGCAACCCUGACCGAGCAACGCCGCGUGAGUGAAGAAGGUUUUCGGAUCGUAAAGCUCUGUUGUAAGUCAAGAACGGGUGUGAGAGUGGAAAGUUCAAACUGUGACGGUAGCUUACCAGAAAGGGACGGCUAACUACGU
rnacentral:rRNA from 1 species